UACGUAGGGUGCGAGCGUUGUCCGGAAUUAUUGGGCGUAAAGGGCUCGUAGGCGGUUUGUCGCGUCGGGAGUGAAAUCCACUGGCUUAACUGGUGGCUUGCUUUCGAUACGGGCAGACUUGAGGUAUGCAGGGGAGAAUGGAAUUCCUGGUGUAGCGGUGAAAUGCGCAGAUAUCAGGAGGAACACCGGUGGCGAAGGCGGUUCUCUGGGCAUUACCUGACGCUGAGGAGCGAAAGUGUGGGGAGCGAACAGG
rnacentral:rRNA from 1 species